rnacentral:rRNA from 1 species
UACGUAGGGGGCAAGCGUUAUCCGGAUUUACUGGGUGUAAAGGGAGCGUAGACGGCAGCGCAAGUCUGGAGUGAAAUCCCAUGGCUUAACCAUGGAACUGCUUUGGAAACUGUGCAGCUGGAGUGCAGGAGAGGUAAGCGGAAUUCCUAGUGUAGCGGUGAAAUGCGUAGAUAUCACGAAGAACUCCGAUUGCGAAGGCAGCUCACUAGACUGCAACUGACACUGAUGCUCGAAAGUGUGGGUAUCAAACAGG